rnacentral:rRNA from 1 species
AUUGAACGCUGGCGGCAGGCUUAACACAUGCAAGUCGAGCGGAGAUGAGGUGCUUGCACCUUAUCUUAGCGGCGGACGGGUGAGUAAUGCUUAGGAAUCUGCCUAUUAGUGGGGGACAACAUUCCGAAAGGAAUGCUAAUACCGCAUACGUCCUACGGGAGAAAGCAGGGGAUCUUCGGACCUUGCGCUAAUAGAUGAGCCUAAGUCGGAUUAGCUAGUUGGUGGAGUAAAGGCCUACCAAGGCGACGAUCUGUAGCGGGUCUGAGAGGAUGGACCGCCACACUGGGACUGAGACACGGCCCAGACUCCUACGGGAGGCAGCAGUGGGGAAUAUUGGACAAUGGGGGAAACCCUGAUCCAGCCAUGCCGCGUGUGUGAAGAAGGCCUUAUGGUUGUAAAGCACUUUAAGCGAGGAGGAGGCUACUGAGACUAAUACUCUUGGAUAGUGGACGUUACUCGCAGAAUAAGCACCGGCUAACUCUGUGCCAGCCGCCGCCGUAA